rnacentral:rRNA from 1 species
GGUGAGUAACACGUGGAUAACCUACCUAUAAGACUGGGAUAACUUCGUGAAACCGGAGCUAAUACCGGAUAAUAUUUUGAACCGCAUGGUUCAAAAGUGAAAGACGGUCUUGCUGUCACUUAUAGAUGGAUCCGCGCUGCAUUAGCUAGUUGGUAAGGUAACGGCUUACCAAGGCAACGAUGCAUAGCCGACCUGAGAGGGUGAUCGGCCACACUGGAACUGAGACACGGUCCAG